AUCAAUAAUCAAAGAUAUACUAUUAUUUACGCAUGUUUAAGCCACAAUGUGUGCCUGUCCAUGCCAUAUUACAAGCAUAUUACAUAUUAUUGCAAAUCACAUUCUUGCAACAUAAAACUCUUUGUGCGGCUCGAGUUUCAACAGCUUGUAUGCUACUGCUGCACUGAAUCAGUAUUUAUUUAUAAAUCUGCCAAAAGCUUGCCAAAACUGGGGUAGAUGGAUCCAUGAUCACACGCGUAACAACGAGCAACCGUGCACAACGCAUUUUAAAUUCCUUUUUUACUCUUUUCACAGAGGGAGAUAGAGCACAGAAGAAAGUCAAGAUUACAGUACAAUAGUAACGGAAUUCUCUGAAUAACAGCAAAUAAAAAAUACAGCCAGUGGAAACCUUUCACCGGAUUGGUGAACGCUCAAGGUUGCCACUGACGCCGAAAGUCUUAAGAUAUUUUUUGCACACGCACGACGCGUGCUCUUGUGAAACGGCAUUAAGAGACCUUCAAACCAUGCAUGUAGCUCGCCAUACAUGUGUGGCCGUGACCUCAUGCGACUUAAUGACCGAACAGUAAUACAAUUUUCACUAUCAUACACCCAAAAAUGGCGCUACUUCACUUCUACACACGAAACAAUUUUUUAUGAAGUGAAAUAAGUAAUAAAAAUAUCAAUGAAAGAGAAAUAAUCUUAUACUGAGUUAGUAUUUCACGUUUAAUUCCACUCUAUAAUAUUAAUCUAGAUAUCUAGUAAAAAAUAGAGUCAUCCAUAAAUGAAGUAGUGGCGACACACCCAAUAAUUUCCUCCGUUGUUAUGUCUAUUUCUAAAAGCCCAAAUGUGCAUUUUUCUUUCUCUGCUACUGCCUCUAACCAAUACUAGACUUUUUUCAAUUUUGCUUACGAAAUAGUCUCAACGAACAAAUAUCUUUAAAAAUUAAUCAAAAUUUUUCUGCUCAUGCGGUAUAAGGAAUACUUAAGAGGUUACUUUAGAAUGAUUUACUUUACGUUAUUCUUAUUAAACAUAAUGAAAUUAUUCACGUGCGGUAAAAAAAUAUCUGAAAAACAGAAAGAAAAUGAACAAAUUCAAAAAUUUAAUGAUUUCAGUUAUCAUACAUAGAAACUGAUGAUCAAAUAUGGAGUAGUUCUCUUUUGUAACGGCUCACAAAAUGGCUACGCAAGCUGAUACGUAGAAACAUAAAACUACUGUUAAUAAUACUGUGUAGAAAAUACUUGUAUUCUGUAAAAUAAGCAUUAUAUAUUAAUCAAUUUUUAAUAUAUGCAAGCCUAUAAAUUUAAAUAACGGAUAAAAAGCAAAAUGCUUGAAUAUUAAAUCAUUUCAGAAACACGUGUUUAAAGUGUAACGGAUUCCAAAUUACAGGGAUUUUCAUAAAAAUAAAUAUACAACUUGGGAGAAAACUACGAAAAACGUUAAACCAAUUACAAAUAUGUAAGUAUAAAAAAGUAUUAGAUGUUAUAAUGGAGCUCACAUUUGAGAAAGUUUGUGAAUACAAGAUGUCGGAACCACGUUGCGAAAAGCAGAUAUUCCUCUGCCGUGGUCGUUGCAUCCGCUUGAUCACUUUGUCACAGUAACAAUAAUUUAAAAUAAAAAAGUAAAAAAAGAAUGCAAUAAGACCUGUAUCCUUUAAAGCCAGUACACAUAAGGACUUUCAGAUAGAGACGCGUAGAUUUUUAUAAGGAAAAGAGAAACGAUGCGUGUAAAGGGCGCUCGUUACAAUUAAAUAAAGGAUUACGUGUAUAAAUUCUACAGAAUAUCGCAAGAUAAAAAAGAAACCUUAUAUAGGAACGGAAUAUAGUAAAGACGCAAAUACAUUAAGCGUAUUCGUUACGUUAUGAAGUAUGCAAGCUCAAAGAUGAGUAACCUUUUAAGUAGUAUGAAUGUAAAUAUAGAAUUAUGUAUAACUACGAAUAUACAAUUAUUAAUUAAAAAAGGAAAAAAUUAUAAAAGGAAAAGGGAAAUGGGAAAAACGGAGUAAAAAACACAGCUGGCUAGCACAGCACGUGCUGGCUACUGGAGGAACCUCCGUUGUUCAACGAGGAAACAAGUCGGGAACCUCCCUCCAGCAACACAAUCGCCGAUGUUCGUGUACCUUCGGUACAUUUCGCGCCUUUUCGUCGUAUGAUGUCACAGUUUGGUUCGAAGCUCCCUUCGGAGUUUUAUAUAUACCUUGCAUUUCAAUCAUUGAAAAAAGAUCCGUUCACAUUAGAAACAAGUAUUCCAAUAAAUUACAUGAUGUAUGCUACACUUUGCUUAUAAUAUUCUCAAAUUUUUAAAAAUUACUAGGAAUAAUUAAAUUUGUAACUUGUAUAAUGCAAUUUUGUUGAAACGAUUGAAUUUAAUUUAGUGCGAUUAAGAAUAAAAAUUUUAAUCUCAUGGACAAUGUAUUUAUCGUCACUAUAGUCCUUUCAUUCCAUGUAUUUAAAACGUAUUUUUCCCCAAGAAAUAAGAAUUCACGUAAUAAAAUUAAGGUUUGACAAAUACACGGAAAACUACUUUGCUCGAUUUUCCUCCAUACAAGUAACGAAAACUUAACCUUCUUUUUGUUCCCAUUUUUAAAAAAUAUCUAUAAUAGAAUUUGAAUAGAAUUAAUUUGACAUCCCUGUACUUUUAUUUCACUUUGCAAUAUAAAUUAAUGUUUUAUAAUAGAACUACUUUAAAAAUUAAUAGUUUCCACUUAGAUCAUUACUACGAUCUAAAUAUUUUUGUAUUUAAGAAUUUUUUGUCUUACAACACUAUUCGAUUGUUUCAAUUAUAAAUUUGAGAUGUAUGCUUUAAAUAAUAUGUCUUCACUUGCUUGAAUGUUCGAAUAUCUUUCAACUUCAAUAAUGUUAUUACUUAAAUGUUCCAUAUUAAAUUUCAUGAAAAAGUAUCAUCUUGCAUAAUCUAUUUUGAGAAACGUUUAAUGCAUCGUUUAAUGCAAACUUCUUCGUAUACGUGUAAAAAUAAUCUAUGUAUAUUGAAUGUAUAUUAAAUGCUUUAAUGUAUAUUGAAAUGAAUACGAAAUUAAUGUAUUUAAAAUAAAAUUUGCGUCACAAUUGCGAAGUUUAAGUUGGAUGCAAGCAGAAGGAAUUAUAAAACUUUUAGGUUUGAAUCAAAGUAAAUCGUAUUGUAAUAUCACAGUAAUAUCCAACAACCCUUCUUUUUAAAGAUAUUUUUAAAUAACAUAACCACACGACAUUUCAAUCAUAGGUGCUUUACAUUUUGUAAAAAAGAAUGAAAAGUUUCAAAAUAUUCAAAUCUAUUUCCAUGUGUGUAACUGAAGAGAUACGUUUCCUUUACAUAUGUGAUGCAUACAUUUUUAAGCAUGCCUAUUUGAAAAUAUCUUCGCGGGUAAGCACACUAUAUACUAUGAUUUAACAUUAACAUUAACCGAAUUACUAGUUCAUAGCAAUUAACAUGUAAACUUAUGGACAAUGAUGAUUAUUGAAGCUAUCACAGAAGCAAAGUUCAAAUUACAGUGAUAUGAGAAAAACGGAGAAAAACUAUGUAGAUAUAUCGGAAAUCUUAAUCUAUAACUCUAAUUUGUAUAUGUAUAUGAAAAUAUUGUAUUCUUUCGAAAAAUCAUUAUUGCAAUAUAUGAGUGUAGGAUACAUACAAAAUGAUUAACGAUCACGAGCAUAACUAUCAAUAAUAUUGUAAAUCAAAUAAGAAAUGUCUAUACAAAAACAUAAACCAAUUAUUUGUAAGAAAAAUGUAAACCAAGCAAUAAUGUAUAUAUUCAUAUUUUGAAUAAAAAAGAGAAAAAUAAAGAAAUAUUUUCCGUAAAAUAUUAGCUAAUAUACCUCAUAUAAAUUAAAAAAUAGCAAUAUAAAAUCAUAAAAAAUUUACAUUUUUUUAACUUUUUAUCUUACAUAGACUGCAUUACAUUAUCUGUAUUUUAAAUGCCUUUUUUAUAUAAUAUUGCUCAAAUAUCAACCAAAAAAUUUAAAUAUAAUAAUAAAUAUAAUAUAAUAUCCCUUACUUGAGCCUUAUUAUUGCAAUAUCAUAUAUUACUCUAACUACAUUAUCAUGAAUUAUGUAUUACGAUAGCAAACAGAAAAAUAACUGAUAAAACAAAUGAAAACUUAGAAUUUUGCAA